AUUGGUUGUCGUCAGCUCGUGUCGUGAGAUGUUGGGUUAAGUCCCGCAACGAGCGCAACCCUGUCCUUAGUUGCUAACAGUUCGGCUGAGCACUCUAGGGAGACUGCCUUCGCAAGGAGGAGGAAGGUGAGGACGACGUCAAGUCAUCAUGGCCCUUACGGCCAGGGCUACACACGUGCUACAAUGGGGCGUACAGAGAGCUGCGAUACCGCGAGGUGGAGCCAAUCUCUUAAAGCGUCUCUCAGUUCGGAUUGUUCUCUGCAACUCGAGAACAUGAAGCUGGAAUCACUAGUAAUCGCAGAUCAGCUAUGCUGCGGUGAAUACGUUCCCGGGUCUU
rnacentral:rRNA from 1 species